GUGAGGAAUAUUGCGCAAUGGGCGAAAGCCUGACGCAGCGACGCCGCGUGGAGGAUGAAGGUCUUCGGAUUGUAAACUCCUGUCGAGCGGGACGAAGGCGGUGAGCGUUAACAGCGCUCGCCGUUGACGGUACCGCUGGAGGAAGCCCCGGCUAACUCCGUGCCAGCAGCCGCGGUAAUACGGAGGGGGCCAGCGUUGUUCGGAAUCAUUGGGCGUAAAGGGCGCGUAGGCGGCCGAUCAAGUCCGACGUGAAAUUCCCCGGCUCAACCGGGGGCCUGCGUCGGAUACUGCUCGGCUCGAGUCCCGGAGAGGGUAGUGGAAUUCCCAGUGUAGCGGUGAAAUGCGUAGAUACUGGGAGGAACACCGGUGGCGAAGGCGGCUACCUGGACGGGUACUGACGCUGAGGCGCGAGAGCUAGGGGAGCAAACAGGAUUAGAAACCCCAGUAGUCC
rnacentral:rRNA from 1 species